ensembl:lncRNA
GGGAAAAGGAAUGUGGAAAACAAAGUGCAGACGUCAAGAAAAGUAUUUGCAGUUCUGAAGGACACAAAGAGCUUUAUGGUGAAUUCUGGUGACCUGAAGGCAUGCUCUAUAAGAUGUGGUACAGGGCUGAAGUCAUCCAAGCAUGCAAUUUAUGACUGAGUGGCUACUUAGAGCACAAAACUCUCGGAGAGAAGCGUGGAAAAGGGGCUCAAGGACACUGCCUCUUUCAUUUCUGUGAAGUGAAAAGCAGAGUUAUCUGUACCCAAGUUUGUCACAGUGAGUAAGAUGCAGACGUCCAUGACAUGCCGUCCUUUGGAUGGAGUCACUGAAAACAAAGAAAACAUGAUGUUUUGCCUCCUGAAGAUUACUAUGAGAUGAAAUACGAGGCUUUGACACCUUCCUGCUUUAUCCACGUAGCGAUGCCUCUACUAAAACUCUCUGCAGUAUUUCCUGGCUGGCACAGCAAGUUGACCAUCAGGAAUGGAGUGAUGCUCUGACACUGGAUGAGCUCUAGCAAGUGAGAGUGCCUCGGUGCUGCACGUGUAUCACGCAACAGCCGAGGUGCUGAUUGCCCUGUGCAGCCAUUCCCUGUGCCAGUGACCCCAUCCUAGCCAGGGCCACCAUCCCUCUGUACGAAGAGGUUGGGUACCAGGACCACCAUCCCCCCCCCGUGCGUGGUGGUUCGGUACCACGGACAGCACCACGAGGCCAUGGUAUCCUCAGCCUGGAGGGCACAAAGGGGUGGAUGCUGGGGGGAGCGAGGUACCCCCGCAUCGAGCCACAAGUGGGAAGAUGUCCCACCACACCUGAACCCCUUCGUACCAAGACACCCAGCGCGUGGAUUUGGGGUGCGGGAAGGAAAUAAUGGGGCUAAAAGCUGGACGCUGGGAGGCUGCGAAAUCCACCGUAUGAUUAUAAAGCCCCAAAGAUGCAGCAUCCCUGGUGCCGCAGCGCUGGCUCCCGCCAAGCCGGG